UGGGGAAUAUUGGACAAUGGGGGCAACCCUGAUCCAGCCAUGCCGCGUGAAUGAUGAAGGCCUUCGGGUUGUAAAGUUCUUUUGGUAGGGACGAUGAUGACGGUACCUACAGAAUAAGCUCCGGCUAACUUCGUGCCAGCAGCCGCGGUAAUACGAAGGGAGCUAGCGUUGUUCGGAAUUACUGGGCGUAAAGGGCGCGUAGGCGGUCUUACCAGUCAGAUGUGAAAGCCCUGGGCUCAACCCGGGAAUUGCGUUUGAUACUGUAAGGCUUGAAUUCGGGAGAGGUUGGUAGAAUUGCCAGUGUAGAGGUGAAAUUCGUAGAGAUUGGCAAGAAUACCCGUGGCGAAGGCGGCCAACUGGACCGACAUUGACGCUGAGGCGCGAAAGCGUGGGGAGCAAACAGG
rnacentral:rRNA from 1 species